rnacentral:rRNA from 1 species
AACGAACGCUGGCGGCAGGCCUAACACAUGCAAGUCGAGCGAGCAUUUCGGUGCUAGCGGCGGACGGGUGAGUAACGCGUGGGAACGUGCCCUUUUCUGCGGAAUAGUCCUGGGAAACUGGGGGUAAUACCGCAUACGCCCUUUUGGGGAAAGAUUUAUCGGAGAAGGCUCGGCCCGCGUUGGAUUAGGUAGUUGGUGGGGUAAUGGCCCACCAAGCCGACGAUCCAUAGCUGGUUUGAGAGGAUGAUCAGCCACACUGGGACUGAGACACGGCCCAGACUCCUACGGGAGGCAGCAGUGGGGAAUCUUAGACAAUGGGGGCAACCCUGAUCUAGCCAUGCCGCGUGAGUGAUGAAGGCCUUAGGGUUGUAAAGCUCUUUCAGCUGGGAAGAUAAUGACGGUACCAGCAGAAGAAGCCCCGGCUAACUCCGUG